rnacentral:lncRNA from 1 species
UUUUCUUGCUACAUUACAAAAUAGGUAAAUUCCUAACACAUUCUAUUGUAAAAGUACCUUAAUCUGAAUUAUCUGCCCUUUCAUUUGAGUUGCCUCCCCUUAUGUCGCAAAGUUGGAAAAAAUUGAUCAAACAAAAGUUUUCUGUUUUUUGUAAAAUACAACCAUACAUAUGAUAAAACAUGUCGUUUUCUAUAUCGAAGUGGAAGUUCUUACACAUAAAUUACCUACUACUCUGAAAAUUUGCACAUUCUCUUAAAGAUCUAGACCUUGUUUUCUGGUAUUUCCAAAUCCAAGAUGGAGGAAGACAACCUAUCUACCUUAA